CCUACGGGUGGCACCAGUGGGGAAUAUUGCACAAUGGGCGCAAGCCUGAUGCAGCCAUGCCGCGUGUGUGAAGAAGGCCUUCGGGUUGUAAAGCACUUUCAGCGGGGAGGAAGGCGGUGAGGUUAAUAACCUCACCGAUUGACGUUACCCGCAGAAGAAGCACCGGCUAACUCCGUGCCAGCAGCCGCGGUAAUACGGAGGGUGCAAGCGUUAAUCGGAAUUACUGGGCGUAAAGCGCACGCAGGCGGUCUGUCAAGUCGGAUGUGAAAUCCCCGGGCUCAACCUGGGAACUGCAUUCGAAACUGGCAGGCUAGAGUCUUGUAGAGGGGGGUAGAAUUCCAGGUGUAGCGGUGAAAUGCGUAGAGAUGUGGAGGAACACCAGUGGCGAAGGCGGCUCUCUGGUCUGUAACUGACGCUGAGGCGCGAAAGCGUGGGGAGCAAACAGGAUUAGAUACCCGAGUAGUC
rnacentral:rRNA from 1 species